ensembl:snoRNA SNORD34 Small nucleolar RNA SNORD34
GGGCGUCCAUGAUGACCGACCGUUACCUACAUUGUUUGACCCUCCUGAGAACAGCUCCUUGCCUGAGACGCCC